UACGUAGGGGGCAAGCGUUGUCCGGAUUUACUGGGCGUAAAGAGCGCGCAGGCGGUCUUUCAAGUCGAGUGUGAAAGCCCCCGGCUCAACUGGGGAGGGUCAUUCGAUACUGAUCGACUCGAAGGCAGGAGAGGGAAGCGGAAUUCCCGGUGUAGUGGUGAAAUGCGUAGAUAUCGGGAGGAACACCAGUGGCGAAGGCGGCUUCCUGGCCUGUUCUUGACGCUGAGGCGCGAAAGCUAGGGGAGCAAACGGG
rnacentral:rRNA from 1 species